rnacentral:rRNA from 1 species
GAUGAACGCUGGCGGCGUGCCUAAUACAUGCAAGUCGAGCGAACAGAUGAGGAGCUUGCUCCUCUGACGUUAGCGGCGGACGGGUGAGUAACACGUGGAUAACCUACCUAUAAGACUGGGAUAACUUCGGGAAACCGGAGCUAAUACCGGAUAAUAUAUUGAACCGCAUGGUUCAAUAGUGAAAGACGGUCUUGCUGUCACUUAUAGAUGGAUCCGCGCCGCAUUAGCUAGUUGGUAAGGUAACGGCUUACCAAGGCAACGCUGCGUAGCCGACCUGACAGGGUGAUCGGCCACACUGGAACUGAGACACGGUCCAGACUCCUACGGGAGGCAGCAGUAGGGAAUCUUCCGCAAUGGGCGAAAGCUUGACGGAGCAACGCCGCGUGAGUGAUGAAGGUCUUCGGAUCGUAAAACUCUGUUAUUAGGGAAGAACAAAUGUGUAAGUAACUAUGCACGUCUUGACGGUACCUAAUCAGAAAGCCACGGCUAACUACGUG